ensembl:lncRNA
ACCCCACCUCUGUUCCUCAUUGUGUUCCUCCCUCGCUCCACGAACACAAACAUCCCACAGGGUAACGGGGAUGUGUUUAUCACUGGGAGAUUUCUGUUGCAUGUUUCCUCCUUCAGCUCAUUUCACUACCGCGCUCUCACUUUUCAAUCCGUCCCUAAACCUCGUAACCGACACCUUCCCGGUAGGAUCACGGCUCUGAUCGAUACCGCAGCCGACUUCCCCAGAACUGAUCGAGGAGCCCAGUGAUGACGAGCGAACGAGAGGAAUGUAACGAGAGUAAGCGAUACCGCUCGGGCUGGACGGCAUACCGACGCUAAUCCUAGAGAGACAUUUCUGAAAUGAGCUGCGCCGAUCCAGGAGAAUGACUUGCAUGUGCAUUGCCUGCCUGCUUUCCCUAAACCCCUCCUCUCCUUUUAGUCCAGCGAGCAACAUGAGCUACUGGACCACAAUUUCCACUCACGAGUUUCCAGGCUCUCUGAUGCGGCCUUUAUGCGUAGCUUUAAGGCGUUCGUCGAGCGCGCAUCACUCUCUUCGACGCACGCACAGAAGAUGGGAAUUCUCUAAAAACAGCAUGGUUACAUUUCAAAAGAUGUGGCGUAUAAUGUUUAGCCUGCUGUUUAACCCAACAAUCGACCUUACUUUCUGAUAGCCAUACCACUACACCGGUCAAGGCUUCACAGUGAUUGAAGGGUAGAAGUUUCAAGAUACAGAUUAAAACGCAUCUCCAUCUAUUCGUGUCUAUGCCUUCGGGGGUUUUGUUUUUUUCUUCUUCACCCGAACAAAUUCCAGCGGAUCUCGGCCAUUCCGCGUCCGGCUGCGACUCGUCAAAAAUCUAGGAGACCAGUUACUGUGAAACAUCUUGCUGAAAUGGAGAGAAUAAAGUUUUUAUUUGCAUUUCCUUCAGAAUUGUGGAAUUAAUCAUUAUUAAUUUAAAAGAAGGCAUAAAAGUCCGAACUAUCGGUAUCAGCCGAUAUCACUCUGAAUAAUCGGUUUAAAAACUUUAAGCCGAUACGGCUGAGAAAUUUAAUAAUCGGUGCAUUUCUACUCU